CUGGCUCAGGAUGAACGCUAGCUACAGGCUUAACACAUGCAAGUCGAGGGGCAUCAGAUCGAAAGCUUGCUUUGAUGCUGGCGACCGGCGCACGGGUGAGUAACGCGUAUCCAACCUUCCCUAUAGUAGAGAAUAGCCCGGCGAAAGUCGGAUUAAUGCUCUAUGUUGUAUUUAGAGGACAUCUGAAGAAUACCAAAGGUUUACCGCUAUAGGAUGGGGAUGCGUCUGAUUAGGUAGUAGGCGGGGUAACGGCCCACCUAGCCGACGAUCAGUAGGGGUUCUGAGAGGAAGGUCCCCCACAUUGGAACUGAGACACGGUCCAAACUCCUACGGGAGGCAGCAGUGAGGAAUAUUGGUCAAUGGACGAAAGUCUGAACCAGCCAAGUAGCGUGCAGGAUGACGGCCCUAUGGGUUGUAAACUGCUUUUAUAUAGGGAUAAAGUCGGGGACGUGUCCCCGUUUGUAGGUACUAUAUGAAUAAGGACCGGCUAAUUCCGUGCCAGCCGCUGC
rnacentral:rRNA from 1 species